GUGGCCAGCCUACUGACCGAGCAGCAGAGCUGUGGUGCCGCCCUCUGAUCUUCCCAGUCCCCUUCCUCCCAUACCACCACUUUUCACUUCCCUUGAUUUAUUGGCUGGUUACAUGUUCAUCCUGGUGCUCCUCUUCUUUUCUAGGUAUAGAGAUAUAGAGACGUGUGCUUCCCAACUCAUAUCCCUCUGUCUCACUUUUCUUUUCUCACACAAAUCGGAUAGAUCUAGUGAUGGGAGAACCUACUUUCUUUGUGGUUUCCCCUGGGAUUGGAGUUCUCUAGCUGCAUAUAGCUUCAGUUCUCUAGGUCAGAUCUCCUCUUGGCCAAGGUAUCUUUGAUUCCAAGCCGCCCUAGGUUGCAGGCCACAUCUCCUUCUAAUUCUCUGGUUUUUUUCGUGCUCUUGAUGCUACGGCGGGCUGGCCAGUUGCAUCUCCCCAUGGUUUGUGCUUUUCACCUCCACAAUCAAAGAUGUACGUAUGGUGGUGUUGUUGGUGGUCCUGGCAUUGCUGCAACUGAUGGAUGGUUUCUUCUGGUGGAUUCCUACUGAAAAAAUUUAUUACUUCUGAGAGCCAUGCCAAUUCACAUGGCAAUUAUACAGUUGAUAUCAACAUGAUUGAUAUUGUUAUCCGGAGGCGGGGAAUUUCUGUAGGCAAGCAGACGACUAAUUGUGUUAUUAAUAUGUUCAUUUUCUUCUUUCUUUAUUGAAAGCUAAUUUCUUAUAUGCUGAGUGCACUCAAAAUCACAUAAAAGGUUAAUUUCACACAAAUGGCACUAUCCUCAUGGUUUCAUGUAGUCUAUUGUUCACGAAUCUGAAACAUGUAUAUGAGCCAAGAGCACAUUGGCAUUUUUCUUCGUCUAAUUUAUCUGUUUGUGUUCUAGGUACUUCAAAUUUUAAUGACAGCAACAAGGAGGCCGCCUCUAGCAAAGAUGCACAGACCAUCAAUUCUGCAUGUGAGACCGCCCAUCACACUGCCUCCGAAGCUCACGCCACAGUGUGUUUUUUCGCUUGUGUUUAUUCUUCAUUGCUCCUCUGGUCGAGCACUUGAGAGAACAUAUGAUGAUGCUCGCCAUUUGAUUUGAUUUGUGUGCAGGGAUGGCGAGCGGAAAGGCUGGGGACAUGAAGGGGGCCGGCGAACGAUCCCGGGCAGACAAGGGACACGACAAAUGAGGUUCUAAAAGGGACGGCCACAAGGCUAUUGUGCUUCUUGACCAAACUUCAUAUGGCCACCAUUCUCUUCAUAUUCACUUGGUAUGAAUCUGCUGAUAGUAUCUAUUUUAGCUCAUCGAUGGAUUGUUCAAUCACUUGCUUUGACUCUUAUAUAUGUUGAGAUCGUCUGUCCUAUUAAGUUUAAUCUAUAUUCGAAAUACAAAUAGUUUUAGGAAUGCAAAGUUCAUUAUGAUAGUUGAGGUUAAUGAUGCUAACUUUUUGAUGAUGUCACGGCCAAAUUCUCAUGCUGACUUGCAGUGACAAGUUAGUUACGACGCCUCAAUAAUAUUGAAGAAAUAUGUAUAUAUGUUCAAUUUUGGGCUGAGAAGUCCUUUUACCACAGUUAGUAUUGACUACAUUACUACAUAAUUCACCAGACUUUUGUUAGUUGACAUGUGCUUAACUUAUUGAGUAACUACCUCUCAUUCAGCUUAUUUGUGCAUUGUCAUAGUAAAUGAUAUAUUCCAAUGAUGUUUUUGAGAAGAGUAAACCAUUAUUAAAACAAGCCUAUGAUGCACUCUAUUUUACAAACUUCAAGCGGAAUCUCUACAUAUUGGUUCAGAUAUUUGUCAUUCAUAAUUGUAUUCAUAACCACCCACUCGAUCUGCAUGCAUAUUUCAGUUUCUAGGUUGCACCAACUGCAACCUUUAGAUAAUAUGGAGUAGACCGGACUAUCUGUUUGACUAACCUCUCUUUAUAUCAAGAGACACAAUCAAUCAUCGCAAAAAUAGUCAAUGAAUCGUCCAUUUUUUUGUGAAAAAACCAUUCAUCUGACUUAAAUGUAUGCAAUUGGUUAUGCUGGCUCGACAGUGUAGUUGUCUUGGAAAAUAAUUAUAUUUUUAAAAAUUACUAGCCUUGCUUACUGAUUAAUACACCCAAAUCCUAUUAUCCGAUUAUAAUUAUUACUUUAUUAUUAGUCAAAAGCAUGACUUGUCAGUAGUUGAUUGGCAUCCGAGUGUAGCCUUUCAAAGAAGCUUCCAGUCUAUUUCAGUUUCAUCCACUCCACAACUAUAUGUACAAAUUUCAAAAUAUUAUUCAUGUACUACUUUACAUAUAUAAUUUAAGGAUGAUAGUGUUGUGAUCAUUCUUUCUUCCCGUUUCCAAUUUCAUUUACAACAAUGGUAAUGCAUUAUUUUUAUUUUAUGUUCAUCCAUGCAACUUAAAACAUGUGUUCAAUUUGUAGGAUGCUAAACAAAAUUCAAGGUGCAAACAUACAAAGUUUUUGAUGGGUCAUAUUAUGAGUUUAAGUUAAAUCAACAUAUUCUACCUACACAGCUUUGGUCAUCGUUCACUGGGGUAGUAGGAGUAGACAUCCAAACCGUAUCUACAGAUUUACGUCAUUGAUAGACCUAUGUGUACUGGAAGUCCAAGGACAACAUAUUUCUAAUACGUCUCAUCUUAAAACAUACACUAUAGCUUUCAGUUUUACUCUUCUGUAGUUCCAAAUUGACGAAAAUGGCCAUGUUUAGGAGUUGAUUCACUACUAAAAAGUAAACAACCUUCACCAUAUUUGCUUUCAAAGCCAUAAUAUAUAUUAUGGUGGUAUGAAGGAAUCAUACUAUAACUGAAACAUCAAACCUAUUAUUAAUAGUCUCUAGGUGGCCCCUGGCCUUUAAAAAGAGAAUAUAGACAUACACAUAUGCACACUGUUUUUCUCCUCCCAUCUAUGUGACAUUAAUGAGUAACUUUAGUGAAUUGUUCCACGAUGUUUAUUUAUGCUAUAUUUUGUGGCAGGCAAUAUCCAUAUAAUGGUACUUAACAUGUCGACUUUUCACUUCCAUUGCAUCAUGUCCGAACAUCAGAACCACUCAAAUCUUAAUUUAUUGCAUCUUACUUGAGUGACAGAAAAUCAAGUUGUGCACACUUCACAUUUAUUGGGUGUGUCAACGGCGAUCAAAUUUUUUACAAGGAUUAAUGCAGGUUUCUACACAUGUAAUCAAAGUGUAUGGAUGCAUAACUAGCUUUGCUACUGAAAAAAUUAUGAAAAUGCAGGUUUCUGCACUGUUUUUGGCUUUUGUUACAAGGAUCAGAUGAUUAGAAAUAACAGAACAACAUGCUUUGUUUUCCAAUUGACUGAUUUGCAUGGUGCCACAUGUUCUAAUCUAGAUCGACUGCAUCCAUUGUUUUCCAAAGUAUUUGUCCUGUUCUUCUCGCGUCGUUUAGUGCAUAAGAAACCAUGUAGUUCAUUUCGUACAACAAAAUGCCAGCAUAUGCUCUCUUAGUUUAUUUCAAUUUAUGCAAAUUACCUUGCAAUAAUUAUGGAUGAUAUGGAGAUCAGGAAAUAAAGCAGAUAUUAUACAAGCCAGACUUCAUCAUUGUUGAGCAUGAGGGAAACUUGAUAGAAGGUUGUGUGCCAGCCAAGCGCACAGAUCAUUUCAUAGAACAAUUGAAGGAAGGGUCGAAAUGUUCAUCGUCGCUAACGUACGAAGGACAAAUAAAAUAAUAGAUCACCCGUAUAGAAUGGAGUUUCUCAUUGUACAAAGAUCGACGACUCCAUCUGCUGAUGAUUUCCUCUCAGUUUGCAUAUGAUUCACAUCCAUUUAGCGUGCUAGAGGUGCAUAUAGGAAAUAAUAUCUUCUAUCAGGUACUUGACGAAUGUUGCACAUGGUUUAUUGUUUGGACCCUUCAUUUUUUUCCUACCACAAAUAUUUCU